UCGAGAGGCUUCUACAAUGGGGGAAACCCUGAUGCAGCAACGCCGCGUGAGUGAUGAAGGUUUUCGGAUCGUAAAGCUCUGUCUUUGGGGAAGAUAAUGACGGUACCCAAGGAGGAAGCCACGGCUAACUACGUGCCAGCAGCCGCGGUAAUACGUAGGUGGCGAGCGUUAUCCGGAUUUACUGGGCGUAAAGGGAGCGUAGGCGGAUGAUUAAGUGGGAUGUGAAAUACCCGGGCUCAACUUGGGUGCUGCAUUCCAAACUGGUUAUCUAGAGUGCAGGAGAGGAGAGUGGAAUUCCUAGUGUAGCGGUGUAAUGCGUAGAGAUUAGGAAGAACACCAGUGGCGAAGGCGACUCUCUGGACUGUAACUGACGCUGAGGCUCGAAAGCGUGGGGAGCAAACA
rnacentral:rRNA from 1 species